rnacentral:rRNA from 1 species
AUUGAACGCUGGCGGCAGGCCUAACACAUGCAAGUCGAGCGAGCGGCGGACGGGUGCGUAAUGUAUGGGGACUGCCCGAUAGAGGGGGAUAACUAGUGGAAACGGUGGAUAAUACCGCAUACUAUCGGAUAACCCAUAUGGGAUUAGCUAGUAGGUGGGGUAAAGGCUCACCUAGGAGACGAUCUCUAGCUGGUCUGAGAGGAUGAUCGGCCACACUGGGACGGAGACACGGCCCAGACUCCUACGGGGGCAGCAGUGGGGGAUAUUGCACAAUGGGCGAAAGCCCGAUGCCGCGACGCCGCGUGGGGGAUGCAGGCUUUCGGGUUGUAUACCUCUUUCGCUAUCGAAUGGGUAGGUGGAGAAGAAGCGCCGGCUAACUACGUGCCAGCCGCCGCGGUAAUUC